CCUGUUUGUGUUUGCAAGGACACAGAGGAUGAUGACUGCAAACCCAACCAAGAAGUAGCAUUGAUUACUGCCUCUGUGCUAAAUAUGGUAUCCUUGCUACAACCGAUUAAUACCUUCUCAAGUACAUGAAUCUUAUCAUAUCUGGAUACUUGAAACAUCCCACAGAACAUCAAGUGGUCUGCUAUAUUAAAGACAUAAUGCAGAGCAAAAAAGACUAGCACACUAGAAGUCUUGGAAGAGAAGCACUCUGGAAUCCUAGAAGAACUACUUAAACUUCUGCAGAAGGAAGUGGAUCUUAGCAACAUAAGAAUCAACUAUGGUAGUACCUGUGAUGCCCCCUCCUGAAAAAAGCCAGCACUAAUUUGAAGUGACGAAGCUCAUAGGGCACAGAAUUUAAGGAGAUACACCCUCUCAAGGUCAUAUGAAUGAGCAUUUCCUUGAAUUUUUUCCUUAGGCACUUCAGUCGAUUCACCCUAGUCCCUGCUUGUUCCAGAAUUGUCUUUCAAAAUGGAAGAUUUAUCCCUUAGCUACUGGGAGUGUUGUUAGAAGAAAAUCUUUAUCUAAGCAAUCCUUAGGAUGGGCUUUGGUUGAAAAAGUGGCCAUCCAAAAGUCAUAACCGCUACCAUUGGCAGCCCAUAACCCAAAACUACUGAUCAACUAAAAAAUGUAAAUGCCUGGCUUCCUCUCCCCAAAUCAGGACAAUUCUGUUGGGCCAUCUCAACAUCAAAGCUUACUGUGAGGUGGCUGAAAGCUUCACUGGGACUGCAUCACAGCUCAACAUUUUCUUCAUCUUAAUACUGCUUCCUUACCCUCUGCACAUGUGUUCAUCACAAGAGAAAUUUCUAAUUACUUUCCUUUUCACUAACCUGUAUUUCAGAGUCUACUUCUUGGAGGAAAUCUUGUGAAACCAAAAAUAAAUAACAAAUACAUUAUGUUGUUCUGUUAAUAAUUUUCAGGAGUUUAAGGCGA
rnacentral:lncRNA from 10 species